AGUAAAUGAAUUUUAAGAAAAUUAACUUACAAAAAAUACGAUACACUUUUUUUUGCAGAGCAGGUGUUAAUUCUUUAGCAGCCUUUUCUAAGAUCUCUCGUGAACUUUCAACACAACCCAACAUUUCGCGCAAGAGUCUGGGUUGAUAACGAUCAUAUAAAUUUAACUCUGUGUCCCAAUAAAAGGCUAAAUUCAACAAACUCUUUUAUGCAAAGGAAUCUUCCGGAACAAAUUCGACUUUCAGUUAACACAAACACACACUGUUAUCAACAAAAUUUAACCACAUUCCUACCUCCCAAUUGGAAGCCAUUCAACAGUAUAUUAUAAAUUUGAUGAAGAAUCAACAGCCGAUUCUGACACCAUGGUAGCCUGUUCUCCCUUUGUCCUGCAGCGAAAUUGCAUAAGCAGUGAUAUCAGUUCCAAGAUGUGUUCAUCGGCAAAAUUACUUUGGGUG